rnacentral:lncRNA from 1 species
CCCAUGAGGUCUGUCAUUGUCUCCUUAUGGUCCCUAUCAACCCCCAUGGUCCCCAUCACUGUGCCCUUGUGGUCUCCACCACUGUUUCCCCACGGCCCCCACCAUUGUCCCCCUGUAGUCCCCACUAUUGUCCCCUCACAGAUCCCACCACUGUCCUCUCACAGUCCACAUCACUGUCCCCACCAUGGUCCUCACCAGUCCCCUUGCUGUCCCCAUCAUUGUCCCCCUGCAGUUCCCAUCCCUGUCCCCCCGCCACAGUCCCCAUCCCUGUCCCUACACUGUCUUCAUAACCGCUCACAGUCCCCAUCCCUUUCCAGUCCCCAUUCCUGUCCCCCCACAUUCCCAAUCCCUGUUCCCCUUCUCUCCCCCUAAGCCCGCACAUCACCCACCACUGUCCCCACAUUGUCCCCACCACUGUCCCCCUUCAAUCCCCAUCCCUGUCUCUUUGCAGUUCCCAUCACUGUGCCCUCACUGUCCCCAUUGUGUCCUCACAGCCUCGUGGUGGGCUCGGACGGGUACUUGUAUGAGGGCCGCGGGUGGCACUGGGUGGGUGCCCACACCAAGGGCUACAAUACCCAAGGCUUUGGAGUUGGCAUCAUUGGGGACUUCACGGCCACCCUGCCGGACACUGACACACUCACCCUGGUGCGAGAUGAGCUCCUACCUUGUGCUGUCCGCUCUGGCCACAUCCGGCCAGACUUUACCCUGCAUGGCCACCGCCAGCUCGGCCACACCCACUGCCCUGGCAAUGCCCUCUUCCAGGAGAUCCAGAGCUGGCCUGGCUUCCAGGGGACACCGGUGGCACUCGGGCUCAGGUGAGGAGUGGCCCUGGCUGGAGAGCCUGGGCUGGACAGGGGCAGGGGAAGUUGGACACUGGUCCAGAUAGACACCAGACCAUGGAUCCUACUCUGGAUGGACACUGGUCCAGAUGGACGUUAGAGCCAUGGAUCCCAGCUGUACUCUGGUCUGGAUGGCCCCUGGCCCUGCAGCCCACCAGCUUGGCCAGCCCCAGACCAGAUGACCACCAGCCUAGACAUACCAUGGCCCACCCUACUGGCCCACCAGCCAUCCCAGUAGCCCCCACCCCAAAACCCCCCAGAAUAAACCUAAUUGCAGAACAUUGGCUACA